GGCCCGGGCCGCAGCCCUAAACAUGCAGUCGAGCGGUAGCACAGAGAGCUUGCUCUCGGGUGACGAGCGGCGGACGGGUGAGUAAUGUCUGGGAAACUGCCUGAUGGAGGGGGAUAACUACUGGAAACGGUAGCUAAUACCGCAUAACGUCGCAAGACCAAAGUGGGGGACCUUCGGGCCUCAUGCCAUCAGAUGUGCCCAGAUGGGAUUAGCUGGUAGGUGGGGUAACGGCUCACCUAGGCGACGAUCCCUAGCUGGUCUGAGAGGAUGACCAGCCACACUGGAACUGAGACACGGUCCAGACUCCUACGGGAGGCAGCAGUGGGGAAUAUUGCACAAUGGGCGCAAGCCUGAUGCAGCCAUGCCGCGUGUGUGAAGAAGGCCUUCGGGUUGUAAAGCACUUUCAGCGGGGAGGAAGGCGGUGAGGUUAAUAACCUCAUCGAUUGACGUUACCCGCAGAAGAAGCACCGGCUAACUCCGUGCCAGCAGCCGCGGUAAUACGGAGGGUGCAAGCGUUAAUCGGAAUUACUGGGCGUAAAGCGCACGCAGGCGGUCUGUCAAGUCGGAUGUGAAAUCCCCGGGCUCAACCUGGGAACUGCAUUCGAAACUGGCAGGCUAGAGUCUUGUAGAGGGGGGUAGAAUUCCAGGUGUAGCGGUGAAAUGCGUAGAGAUCUGGAGGAAUACCGGUGGCGAAGGCGGCCCCCUGGACAAAGACUGACGCUCAGGUGCGAAAGCGUGGGGAGCAAACAGGAUUAGAUACCCUGGUAGUCCACGCUGUAAACGAUGUCGAUUUGGAGGUUGUGCCCUUGAGGCGUGGCUUCCGGAGCUAACGCGUUAAAUCGACCGCCUGGGGAGUACGGCCGCAAGGUUAAAACUCAAAUGAAUUGACGGGGGCCCGCACAAGCGGUGGAGCAUGUGGUUUAAUUCGAUGCAACGCGAAGAACCUUACCUGGUCUUGACAUCCACAGAACUUUCCAGAGAUGGAUUGGUGCCUUCGGGAACUGUGAGACAGGUGCUGCAUGGCUGUCGUCAGCUCGUGUUGUGAAAUGUUGGGUUAAGUCCCGCAACGAGCGCAACCCUUAUCCUUUGUUGCCAGCGGUUAGGCCGGGAACUCAAAGGAGACUGCCAGUGAUAAACUGGAGGAAGGUGGGGAUGACGUCAAGUCAUCAUGGCCCUUACGACCAGGGCUACACACGUGCUACAAUGGCAUAUACAAAGAGAAGCGACCUCGCGAGAGCAAGCGGACCUCAUAAAGUAUGUCGUAGUCCGGAUUGGAGUCUGCAACUCGACUCCAUGAAGUCGGAAUCGCUAGUAAUCGUAGAUCAGAAUGCUACGGUGAAUACGUUCCCGGGCCUUGUACACACCGCCCGUCACACCAUGGGAGUGGGUUGCAAAAGAAGUAGGUAGCUUAACCUUCGGGAGGGCGCUACCACUUUGGAUUUAAUUUCU
rnacentral:rRNA from 1 species